rnacentral:lncRNA from 1 species
UUUAUAUCCUAUUUUAUACUAACAUCCACUUUUUUGAUGUCUUUUAUUAAUUUGAACACUAUAUGCAUAUUUACUGCAAAAUUCAAGUCAUCUGUGAAAUCUCUGAGAUUCUAUGCGGUGACUAUCAUUUAGGAACUCACACAAUUACUUAUGGAUGUUUGUGA